rnacentral:rRNA from 1 species
AACGAACGCUGGCGGCAUGCCUAACACAUGCAAGUCGAACGAAGCCUUCGGGCUUAGUGGCGCACGGGUGCGUAACGCGUGGGAACCUGCCCUUGGGUGCGGAAUAACAGUUAGAAAUGCCUGCUAAUACCGGCUGAUGUCUUCGGACCAAAGAUUUAUCGCCCAAGGAUGAGCCCGCGUAGGAUUAGGUAGUUGGUGGGGUAAUGGCCCACCAAGCCGACGAUCCUUAGCUGGUCUGAGAGGAUGAUCAGCCACACUGGGACUGAGACACGGCCCAGACUCCUACGGGAGGCAGCAGUGGGGAAUAUUGGACAAUGGGCGAAAGCCUGAUCCAGCAAUGCCGCGUGAGUGAUGAAGGCCUUAGGGUUGUAAAGCUCUUUUACCAGGGAUGAUAAUGACAGUACCUGGAGAAUAAGCUCCGGCUAACUCCGUGCCAGCCGCCGCCGUAACAC